rnacentral:rRNA from 1 species
CGUACACACCGCCCGUCACACCAUGGGAGUUUGUUGCACCAGAAGCGGGUAGCUUAACCGCAAGGGGGGCGCUUGCCACGGUGUGGCCGAUGACUGGGGUG